rnacentral:rRNA from 1 species
GACGAACGCUGGCGGCGUGCCUAACACAUGCAAGUCGAACGGAAAGGCCGGGUCUAGGGGGGGUGGGCGAGGUGAGAACUGGUGACUAACACGUGGGUUAGCUGUCCCUGACCGUGGGAUAACCUCAUGAAACUGAGUGUCAUAGGGGAUAAGAUUUAUUGCCGUUGGAUGGGGCCGCGUUGGUUUAGGCAGUUGGUAGGGUAAAAGCCUACUAUGGCGACGAUCCAUAGCUGGUCUGUGAGGAUGCUCAGGCACACUGGGACUGAGACACGGCCCAGACUCCUACGGGAGGCAGCAGUGGGGAAUAUUGGACGAUGGGCGAAAGCCUGAUCCAGCAAUGCCGGGUGAGUGAUGAAGGCCUUAGGGUUGUAAAGCUCUUUUACCCGGGAUGAUAAUGACAGUACCGGGAAAAGAAGCGCCGGCUAACUCCGUG